rnacentral:misc_RNA from 1 species
AAGUCGUAACAAGGUAACCGUAGGUGAACCUGCGGUUGGAUCAUUAAAAGUUGUAGCAGACCGAUGAGACUCUAGAUGUCGAGUCGGAUCCUGUGAGUACUUAAUCUUGUGAACUGUUAGAAGCGCGUAAUGGCGUUUAGCCUAACUUGCGUCAGAUCUUUGUUGGUCAGUCGUAGGUUGGGCCUUGCCCUGAGGAUGGUAACGGGUUUGCGAGUUGCACCUUAACCGGUGCUCUCGUAGGUCUCUGCGGUGAAGGGUGUUAUCCCUAGCUGCUUAGGCGUGUGUCCUGUUAGGGACACUAGUGUUUGUCGCAUUUUUAUGCCACAAAUGCCGUCCAUCCUCCAUUUGAACUAGUGUUUUUCGUUUUGGUCAUGAUUGUAUACUGCCCAGCAGUGUAAUACAAAACAAUUUCUGACAACGGAUCUCUAGGCUCUC